rnacentral:lncRNA from 1 species
AUGAAGAAAUGGAACAAUCUGAAGCUCAAGUACAAAUCGCUUAGGGACCCACCAACAGGCAGAGGGGUAGAGGCCGGUACAGCUACUGCCGCCACCUGGCAGUGGUAUGGUGCCAUGGAUGCUGCACUCCAGGGACAUCACUCCAUCUGUCCGCCCCUGGUUGUUGCAUCCAGAAUGACUGCCACUACAGGUGGGGUAGAAAGCACACCGGCUUCUACCUCUUCUGCUGAGGAGGCCGGGGGAAGCAGCAGCAGAAAGAGACCCAGGGACAGUCUGCUGGAGCUUUUGAGGGAGCAGGGAGAAAGGGACGAGGAGAGAGAGAGGCAGUGGCGAGAGAGGCGGAGUGGGAGAGGGCGGCAGCAGUCAGGGCUGAACGGUGUCAAAACUUUUAUGUGGCAUUCAUCAAUGGCCCCAGCAGCACAUCUGAAGGCCUCGUGACCUGCAAGUGCCGUGUCAUAGAAAAUGAGACAAGACCACAGGCAAAAUGUGCCAUGUGGUUUGACCAGAAGGCAGGAAGGGUGACUGCGUCAAACAUCCGAGCAGCCUGCCACACAGACCCAGACAAACCAUCUGUUUCCCUGCUGAAGAAACUGUGCUAUCCAGUGGCCUACAAGGACCCAAAAAAAAACACACAAAACACACAAAAAAAGUGGAAAUCAGGAUUUUCCAAUAGGGCAAAAGCAACCCCAAAAGAGCUGGUGAGGGAAAGCACGACAAGUGGCAGUAAAAUUUUUAAUACAGCCAUGGUCAUCUUUCACAACAUUGUAGGCUUAUAAAAAAACACAACUCAUUAUAUCUUCAUACAACUUGAAACGCAAGUGGUCUGCAUGUAGAUUUAAAAUGUAUUUUUUUUAUAAGCCCACAAUGUGAUAAACAUUUACUUACCUUAACAUUUACUUACCUUAUCACCUUGCUGGUAAAACACAAAUGAUCAAGAUAAAUAACGCAUAAUUUAGAAUGACAUUGUGUGCAUUUUUCUGUUUUUAGAUGGGGCACUGAAAACGAGGGAACGG